rnacentral:rRNA from 1 species
CAGAUAGAGUUUGAUCAUGGCUCAGAUUGAACGCUGGCGGCAUGCCUUACACAUGCAAGUCGAACGGCAGCACGGGAGCUUGCUCCUGGUGGCGAGUGGCGAACGGGUGAGUAAUACAUCGGAACGUACCCAGGAGUGGGGGAUAACGUAGCGAAAGUUACGCUAAUACCGCAUAUUCUGUGAGCAGGAAAGCGGGGGAUCGCAAGACCUCGCGCUCUUGGAGCGGCCGAUGUCGGAUUAGCUAGUUGGUGAGGUAAGAGCUCACCAAGGCGACGAUCCGUAGCAGGUCUGAGAGGAUGAUCUGCCACACUGGGACUGAGACACGGCCCAGACUCCUACGGGAGGCAGCAGUGGGGAAUUUUGGACAAUGGGGGCAACCCUGAUCCAGCCAUGCCGCGUGAGUGAAGAAGGCCUUCGGGUUGUAAAGCUCUUUCGGCGGGGAAGAAAUGGCAACGGCUAAUAUCUGUUGUUGAUGACGGUACCCGCAUAAGAAGCACCGGCUAACUACGUGCCAGCAGCCGCGGUAAUACGUAGGGUGCGAGCGUUAAUCGGAAUUACUGGGCGUAAAGCGU